rnacentral:rRNA from 1 species
UACGAAGGGGGCUAGCGUUGCUCGGAAUCACUGGGCGUAAAGCGCACGUAGGCGGCUUCUUAAGUCUGGGGUGAAAUCCUGGAGCUCAACUCCAGAACUGCCUUUGAUACUGAGAAGCUUGAGUCCGGGAGAGGUGAGUGGAACUGCGAGUGUAGAGGUGAAAUUCGUAGAUAUUCGCAAGAACACCAGUGGCGAAGGCGGCUCACUGGCCCGGUACUGACGCUGAGGUGCGAAAGCGUGGGGAGCAAACAGG